GAAAUGCGAUAAGUAAUGUGAAUUGCAGAAUUCAGUGAAUCAUCGAAUCUUUGAACGCAUCUUGCGCUCCUUGGUAUUCCGAGGAGCAUGCCUGUUUGAGUGUCAUUCAAGUUCUCAACUGCAUCAAAUUUCUGUUGCGGCUUGGAAAUGGAGGUCUAUGCAGGCUUGAUCAAGUCUGCUCCUCUGAAAUGAAUUAGUGGUGUCUUUUUUUGAUGGCUAGGUGUGAUAAAACUAUCUAUCCCUAAUGCUGAACAAAAAAAAAAAAAACACUGCUGCAAAACCUUUUCUUUGUUGAUGAAUUUGACCUCAAAUCAGGUAGGACUACCCGCUGAACUUAA
rnacentral:misc_RNA from 1 species